rnacentral:lncRNA from 1 species
UACAGAGGCGGCACCAGAUUGUCCUGUGUGAACUUAAGGUAGGUCACCUACUUUGAGCUUCUGUUUCAGAAAAAUGAGAGAAAGUAUACCCACAGUUAAUGUGGCUUCUGAGGACUAAAAGAGAUAAGGAUUCUAAAUAAUGACAGUACUAUAUAUACUUCAGGCUCUGUACCAGAUGCUUUUGUUUUUUACUUGUAUGAAUGAGGGAACUGAAACAGAAAUGCAUUACACAAAUAAGGGAACAGACCAAAAUAAAUGUCUUAUGUAAAGAUUAAAUAGCUUGAUUAGUAUCUCAGUUUGCCUCUAAAGCCUUUCCAUGUGCUGUUAUUUUAAAUAAUAAUAACUUUUUAAGGUUGAGCGCUAAGGAGCACACCUGUAAUCCCAGCGACUUGGAAGCCUGAGGCAGGAUGAUUGCCAGUUCAAAGCCAGCCUUAGCAAUUCAGUGAGACCCUGUCUCUAAAUAAAAAACAAAAUUAUAUAUGGGGGGGCUCAGGAUGUGGUUCAGUGCUUAAGGCCUCUGGGUUCAAUCCCCAGUUCAAAAAAAAAAAAAAUAGGUUAUUUCCUCCAGUUAAAACCUAUUUAGAAGGAGGAAGGAAUAUAGUCCUGCUGCCUGUUCCACUUAGAUUGUUCAAUAAGAGAGACCUGCAGAGGGCUAAGGUUGCUAAAUGUAAGAACAGGUGUGCAAGGCCCUGGAUUCAUCCCCAGCACCAAGAGGAAAAAAAAAACACUAGGAUCUGUUUGGUGCCUGAAGCACUCCUAACCUUGCCCUUAUAUUAGCUUGCAAACACUUCCUCCCUUCUGUGGACACAAUUCAAGCAUCGCCUCUUUUGCAAAGUAUCUUCUCUCCAAAUGAAAGUUACACAGUCUCCUUUUUAACCUUUUUUCUCUACUGUAUGAAAUCCUCAUCCCCCUAAUGACUGUCUACCUCCCAAGAUUAAGAAUUCCCCAGUGGAAAAUAACUGGUUUUGUAUUUUUUGUAUCUUUUUGUUUUCUCAGACAUUAGCACAUAGCUCAAUAAAAGCCACAUUAAACAUAACACAUCCUACUUUCUCAUGCUGCCACUCUCAAUAGGAAUAACCAACCAGUUACUUGAAAUUCUCAUCAUCGUAGGCUCAGUUUAUAUGCUAACUACCUCAAGAAGCUUCUAGAAGUCCACCCCACCUCGUAAUUGCUCUGAUGUGACUUUUAUUAUGUUCUGCUUGUUUUAACAGUUGAGGGCUUCUCUGCCACUCACUGAACUGAAAAAUCUUGAGGACAGGUGACUGACUUACUGCUCUACCUCCCUCACAGUUUAGCUGAGCUUGCAGUAAAGCUGUAGCCUACCCCAAAACCCAGAAUUGGCCUUUCUUUCUCAGGCAUGGUGGCUUCCCACACCACCAUCCAGUUGUGGUGGAAACCACAACUCUUAUCAGUCCUAAACCAUUACCACUAUCAUAGUAGUCCCCAUUUGGCACGUUAAGAAGGACAGCUGAACAAGACCCAGUUGUAAUUAGCCCACUUUGGUUUUUAGACUUUUUCCACCACAAACCAACCACCCACAGAAAUGCUUGCCAGGAGCUCCUAACUCCACUCAGACCCCUCUGACCAGAUCCAGCCUUAAAAAGCAAGCCAUACAGGCCUCCUCUUAUUUAAGAGAGUCUCCCUUGGCCACUUUAUGUUUUUUUGUUUUUUUAUUCAAAGGAAAAGGGAGUAAUACUGUUUUAAAUAAUUCCACUUUGAUGCAUUUAACAGCAAUAACCACAAGUGAUAUUUCUAUUGGAGUUUUCUAUUUUAUAUUAUCACAUCUGCAUUUCACAAUUCACUUCACAAAUGAGGUAACAGAGUGUCACAGAGGUUAAGUGAUUUGUUCAAGGUUAUACAGAUAAUCUCCAAAGCAGUAUUGUUAUAGUGAAAUGAACAGGGCUCAAACAUUAGAAACAAGAUUCCAGCUUUGACUCCAGUAUUUACUAGUUACAUGACCUAAGACUUGUUAUAAAAUAACAUAUGAAUGCAUCUAAAGUUGUAGAUACACAAAUUAAGAAAUAUGAAAGUCAUAGAGCUGACUGGGCAUGGUGACACAUGCCUGUUAUCCCAACUACUCCUGCUGAGGCAGGAGGAUCACAAGUUAGAGACCAGUCUCAGCAAUUGAGCAAGACUCUGUGUCAUAAUUUAAAAUUUUUAAAAAGGGAUAGGGACGUAGCUUAGUGGUAGAGUGUCCCUGGGUGGUUCAACACCCAGCACCACAAAAUAAAAAUAAUAAAAAUGAAUGAAGGAAGGAGGGGAGGAAAGAAGAAAGAGAAAGAAAAGAAAGUCAUGGAGAAAAUUGGUUUGGGGAAUACAAUUUUACUUUCUAUUCAAGGAAACUCUUCCAAACCUCAUGUGAUCCAAGACAUUAUCCUUGGAUGAAUUAGGUAGAAUCCCAGAUGUCUAGAAUUUUCUGGAAAGGCAGUGUGUGGUAGUAGACAGAACAUUGGAAUCAACUUAGUGUGUGCCCUCAGGCAAACCAUAUAAUCCAUCUGGCCCUUAGUUUCUCAUGUAUGAUAAUAAACAAAUCAAUAUGGAAAAUGUUAAGAAAAUGUAAGGGACUAUUAUCAUUAUUAUGUGAUUUAUGUUGUCAAAAAUGAUACCUUAUACCAGCUUUUGGGGAGGCUGAAGCAGGAGGAUUGCAAGUUCAAGUCAACCUGUACAAGACCCUGUCUCAAAAUUUUUAAAAAGGGGUGUAGCUCAGUGGUAGGUGUAGCAUGUGUAAGGCCCUGGAUUCAAACCCUAAUAACCCCCCAAAAAGUAGCAUCUUCUAUUUAUAUCAUACUGCUUUUCACAGUUUAUAAAUGUUUAUAUUUACAGCAUCUAGCACAACUCCUGAUGCCUAAUAAGUACAUUAUAAAAGUGUGUUGAACUGAUUGGAUACAGUAGUACACACCUGUAAUCCUAGCUACUUGGAAGGGGCUGAAAUAGGAGGAUUGUCAUUUCAAGGCCAACCUCAGCAAGCCCUCUCUCAAAAUUAAACAUUAAAAGAACAGGGACCGGGGCUGGGGAUGUGGCUCAAGCCGUAGCGCGCUCGCCUGGCAUGUGUGCGGCCCGGGUUCGAUCCUCAGCACCACAUACAAACAAAGAUGUUGUUGUGUCUGCCGAUAACUAAAAAAUAAAUAUUAAAAAAAAAAAGAACAGGGACCAAGUACUCUCGUAAUCCCAGCAGCUUGGGAGGUACUAGUUUAAAGCCUGCCUCAGCAAAAACAAGGCACUAAGCAACUCAGUGAGACCCUGUCUCUAAAUAAAAUACAAAAUAGAGCUGGAAUUAUGACUCAGUGGUUGAGUGUCCCUGAGUUCAAUCCCCAAUACACACCCCACCCCACCCAAAAAAAAAGACAGGAGAUGUAGCUCAGUGGCAAAGUAUCCCUGGUUCUAUACACAGUUCCACAAAAGAAAAAAAAAAGUUUGUUGAACUGAACACACAAUCUUAUAUAUAGUUAUUUGUUCCUUGAUUUUCUUAUCUGGAGAUAAAGUAAAGAAACAAAUUCUGUAAAUAACUUGUUUAAGUGGGGGCCACUUAAAGAGGGUUUGAAUCUUGGUUAAAAAAAAAAAAUAGAAUCAGACACCUCCCCUCAAGAGGGAAAGACUCCCUUAAAAUUAUUAUAUGGGAGUUGUUCCAGGCCCCUUCCAGAACCUAAUUUGCAUUAGCUUGUUUCUCUGCUUACAGGCUCUGGUUUCAGUUAAUAACUUGACAUGUCAUGGGAGAGCCAGCCUGUAGGAAUGGGAAUGAUGGGCCAAACUCCCAAAACAGGCCUAGAACUUCUGAAACUGGAUUUGUGUGUGUGUGUGUUUUUCUUUUUUUAAUGCCAAUGACAAUUUGCAAAUGUGUGUGUCCCAGAUCUCAUCAAAGCACUGGGUCACAUCCCAAAUCUAUUUUAGGAUCAUAAAAUGUAGCUAAUGGAAGAUAUGUUAUGAUCUAAUUCAUCGUAACAAGAGUGAACUGCAUAUGAGAGAUGAAAAGGACUUACCUAUAUUUUCUAGGGAAGCUUAAUAUCUCUGGGUCUCUAAACCUCAUAUUCCUCACAAGCACUGUUUUAGUCAGCUUUUUCAUUGCUAUAACCAAAAGACCCAACAAGAACAACAUAAAGGAGGAAAAGUUCAUCUGGUGCUCACGGUUUCAGACAUCUCAAUUACUGCUCUGGGACCAAGGUGAGGCAGAAUAUCACAGUGGAAGAGUGUAGCAGAAGAACACAGUCAGAAAGCAGAGACUCCACUCACCAGGGACAACAUAUAAACCCCAAAGGUAUGCCACCAGUGACCCACUUCCUCCAGCUACACCCUAUCUGCCUAUAGUUACCACCUACUUAAUUCAUGAAAGUGAAUUAAUGCCCUGAUUAGGUUAAGGCUCUCAUAAUCCAAUCAUUUCACUUCUAAACUUUCUUGCAUUGUCUCACACAUGAGCUUUGGAGGAACACUUCAUAUCUAAACAUAAGAGGCACAUUGGUGAUAUUAAAGCCUACUUAGUAGGAAUAGUGUAAAAAUUAGAGAUCGCCAGGCAAAGUGGCACAUGCCUAUAGUCCCAUCUGCUCUGGAGGUUGAAGUAAGAAGAUUACAAGUUCUAGGUCAAACUGGGCAAUUUAGCAAGACCUUGUCUCAAAAUAAAAUUUUUAAAAAGAGGUGGGAUUUUAUCUCAUUGAUAGAGCACUUGCCUAGCAUAUGCAAUGCCCUGAAUUCAAGUCCAGUAUUAUAAAAAUAAAACUAAAAAAGGGAUCACUCAUAAAUGGCCUAUGAAAGGGCCUGGGUCACCAUUUAAUUCUCUACCACUCUGGCAAGACUGCAAUUACUACGUUGGGCUUGCAAAUACAUUAGUUAUAAGAAGUGGGGUGCUGCCAGGCAUGGUGGUACAUGCCUGUAAUCCCAGUGGCUUGGGAUGCUGAGGCAGAAGGAUCAUGAGUUCAAAGCCAGCCUCAGCAACUUAGGCCCUUAGACUUUGUCUCAAAAUUUUAAAAAAUAAUAUAUAUUUUUUAAAAAGGGCUGGGGUUGUGUCUCACUUGUUAAGAACCCUUGGGUUCAAUCCCCAGUAUUAAAAAAAAAAGAAGUGGGGUGCCUUGAGCAGCUGACAAAAAUAUCCUUGUCAUUUUAAAGGUUCAUAGAUGUUCCCUAAGUAUGUAAAGAUGUGUCUGAUGACUUAAAUCUAAAUAUUAAUAACCAAAAACUGCUGUUGUCAAGUACAUUAUUUCAUUUGCAUAACAAUCCUAUAGGGAUUAUUUUUUACAUUAUUUUACAGAAGGGGAAUUUGUCCAAAUUCAUAAUGACAGGACUGAGAAUUAUACACAGGUCUUCUGACUCAUAUACAUUUUAAAGGACAUGUUACUGGUGUCCUGUAGAAAUUAAGUCAUUUCUAAGAAGACUUGAUAAAAUAGUGCUCUUAAACGUGGAAAGCUGAAGAUGAGGCUCUGGAUUUAUGAUAACCAUAAACCCGAGAUGAGCUUGACAAGGAGACCUUAAAUCCUGUACAGCUUUUUCAUCAGUCAUCUUUCAAUCUUAUUCUAACCCCACUUCCCUUCCCCAGCUCACCAUUAAAUAAAAUCACAAUUAUUUUAUUUAUUUGUUUUACCAGCUUUUGCAGGCAACUGUCGUAUCAGCUCUUCAUGAACACUGCACAUCUGUGAUGCCAGCAUUUAUAAAGUUGAGAAAUGCAGGAUGAUUGAUUGAAACUAUGGGACGAAGGGGGACUGUGAGGAACUCUCUGAAUAUACAAAGAACCAGUUUAUUUUCAUGAUUCUUUGAGAAGGGCCUUCCACAUAAAUGGUGCUAAGCUAUUAAAAAUAAGAAAAGUACUACAAUUGUAAUGGUAAUCUGGAGCUCAUACUUCCAAGCUGCUGGUUUCAUAAAUAUAGCCCAUCAUUGUUCAUUUUUGCCCAGGGCAGAGAGAAUAUGUGAAGCUGCACAAUAAUAACAAUUGUGCUACACAAAUAACUGUCCCUGUGCCAGAGUCAAAGCCAUGAAAAGAACAAGCAAUAAAAGAUUUUUAAAUGCUACACAUACCCGGGGUGUGAUAGGACAGUUCAAAACUGUCAUCAUUACUAAUUUUUCAGUGCAAUAGGAUGUCCUGGGAACAAUCUGAGUUUAUACCUGGAAAGGCCCUUGGUCCAUUCUUGGCCCUAUAGCUUCUUUAGUUUGUAACUUUGGACAGUCAGUUUCUUUCUCUGUAAACUGAAGGUAAUAAUAACACCUGCCUGAUUAUAUAUGAAAACCUUAUACCUGGCUCACAACAGACACUAGAUAAAUGUUAGCUCCUUUGCAUUUCUACUGGAGAACAUUUAGGGUUUAAGUAGCCUGAACACAAAAAUAGAAAUCAUUUUUUAAGGCUUUUUCAAAGCCGACUUAAUGAUUCUUAAAAUAAUUUCAUCUAUUAGUAAUAUUUCUUGAGUACUAUAAAUUAAAUGAGAUUAUUACAUUCAUGUCCCCAGUGUGCCAUUGCCUUUUAGAGAGAAAGCGAAUGCGGCUUUAGGCUUUACACUUGCCCUGUUUCCUCCUUUCCUCCCCCUUUCUUAUGAAGGGUCCUGGAAGCUGUAUAAACCAAAAAUAUCCAGACAUGGUGGCAGAUGCCUGUAAUCUCAGCUAUUCUGGAGGCAGGAGGAUCACAAGUUUCAGGCCAACCUGAAUGAUUUAGGGAAACUCUGUCUUAAAAUAAAAAGAACUGGGGAUAGGGAUAUGUCUCAGUGGUAGAGCACUAGCCUAACAUGCAAGAAGCCAUGGGUUCAAUCCCCAGUACUAAAAAAAAGUGGUGGUGGGGGGUAUGAAACCAAAAAUGAAAAAAAAAAAAAAAAAGAAUACGAUGGGAAAGACAAUAUUUGCACUCAAGGCCAAAAAUCCUUUCAUCUGCAGAUUUCAAAGCAUUUUUUUUCCAUCAGUAAUUACUAGUCCUGCUUAACAUGUGUGAAUGAUGAGACACCAUCAAAUUAAGAAGCUUGUCCUAAAUCACAGGCCAAGUCAGAGGAUAGGCUACAGACAGAACAAAGCUAUCUAUCUUGUUUGCCAGCCUUGGGCUCUAAAAUAGGGCAUAAGAGAGUCAACAGAAGGCUUCAAGUAUUGAGGAGAAAAGUUUGAGGAAUCCUGAUUCUCUAUCUUUGAAUCAGUGCAGUGAUAAGAACUUGGGCUUCACAGUGCACUUUGACUUCAGAUCUCAGCUCAGCCCCUUCCUGGCUGCAUAACUUCAGUCAAAUCAUAAAGUCUUGGUUCCCUUCUCUGAAAAAUGGGGAUAUUCUUGGUGCUUAGCAUUUGGGGAAAAACUAAAUGAUGCAACUUUUGUGAAGGAGCCUAGUACAGUGUUUGGCACUUUGCAGGUGCUGAUAAUGUUGGUUCAUGUCACUGGUGAAAACCAAGACAUUCCCCUCACACACUCAUAAUGACAAAUAGACAACUCUUUCAAAGAUUUUUCUUUAAGCCAUAAUCACAGUUGUGUCUUAGUUUAAAACCAUGACUGUGUAUUGAAAAAUCUCACAUUAUAGCCCAAAUAGAGAAUGUCUUGUUCAGGCCUUCAUUGCUUUUCUUGUGCUUUCUCUUACAGCCCAACUCUAGCCUAUUAGCAAGUUCUGUUGGCUAAAUAUCCUAUAUAUGUAAAAAAAAAAAAAAAUUCUGAUUCUGUUUUCAAAGUAUAUCCCAAUCUGACCAAUUCUUACUAUUUCCACUGCCACCUUCUUUCUCCUGAAUCACUCCUAAAUCAACUAAUCUUUCUGCUUCUAUGCUUGUAUUUAUAUCCAUUCUCCAUAUCGUAGUCAGAAUAAUUGGUUUGAACCCAAGGGACGCUUAACCACUGAGCCACAUCCCCAGCCCUUUUUAUAUUUUAUUUUGAGAUAGAGUCUUACCAAGUUGCUUAAAGCCUUGCUAAGUUGCCGAGGCUGUCUUUGAACUUGCAAUACUCCUGCUUCAGCCUCCCAAGCCAAGAAAAAUCAUUUUAAAACAUAAAUUCGAUCUUGUACUUUCCUUUUAAACUUUAGGGAUUUCUCAUCAACCAGCUGACCAAGGUCUACAGUCGUGUUUUAGUCAGCUUCUUCAUCACUGUAACCAAAAGAGCUUCUUCAUCACUGUAACCAAAAGACCUGACAAUAACAACAUAAAAGAGAAAAAGGUUAUUUUGGCUUAUGAUUUUAGAGGUUCAGUCCAUGGUCAGCCAACUCUGUAGCUGUGGGCCCAAGAUGAAUCAGAAUAUCAUGGGGGAAGGGCCUAGCAGAGGAACUGUUCAGCUCAUGGCAGGGUCAGGAAGAGCAGAGAGAUUUGGUUCUGCUCACCAGGGACAAAAUAUAAAACCCAAAGUCACACCUCCAGUGACCCACCUCGUCCAGCCACAUCCCACCUGCCUACAGCUUAAUCCACAUCCAUGGGUUAAUCCACCAAUUAGGUUACACCUUUCAUAAUCUAAUCAUUUCACCUCUGAACAUAAAAAUUGCUUGUGUUGUCUCACACAUGAGCUUUUGGAGAACACCUCAUAGCUAAACCAUAACAAAUGGGUACCAUUCCAGAUAAAUAUGUGUCAGCAAAGCACAGAAAAGCAAAUGUGUUCCAAGUAUGCUGAGAGGUCUGGUGGGAUAGAAUAUAUUGUAGAUGGGAGAGGGAAGAACUAGCAGAGAAUGGUAAAAAGGGUUAGGAAAAAAAAAAAAAAACAAGGGCUGGGAUUGUAACUCAGUGGUAGAGCACUUGCCUCACACAUAUGAGGCACUCGGUUGGAUCUUCAGCACCACAUAAAAAUAAAUAAAUAAAAUAAAGACACUGGGUCCAUCUACAACUAAAAAUAUUUGAAAGAAAGAAAGAAAGAAAAGAAAAGAAAACAACCCAGACAAUAUCAUGGCUAAACUGGAAGUGGCAUAGAGAAGUGUGUCUCUUUAGAUUUUCAGAGAUGCAGAAUCACCCACUGGAAGAAAGGAGUCUCUUAAUGUUUUAUGUUGGUGGUAUUUUCAAAUAUAAUGACUUUGACUCUUUUUAAAAAGCCCAAUGAAUAAGAUUCCUCUUUUAAGAUAAAGUCAAGAUUAUAUAGACCAGGAAUCCUAACGUCAAUACAGUGGUAAAUUUGAUGAGUUUGGGAGUCAAAUUUGAGAUUGAAUCAAGGUCCUCCAUUUAUAAGCUAUAAUACCAUGGGAAAGUUAUUAAAAGUUUCUGAGUCUCAGUUUUAUGUAAACUACAUCUGAAAAUGAUGAAGAGGAAUAAAUGAACCAUGUCAUUAAAGCACUUUGAACAGUAAUUGGCACAUGGGAAUGUGUGCUCAACAAAUGGGUAUUAUCCCAUUGUUAUGAUGAUGAUUUUGAUUAAGAAUCUGCUUUCUUUAUAACUGCCUCAUGUCUGUGAGUUUUAUUAAAAAUUCUGUGUUCCUCCUCUAACAGAGAUCUGAAAUAAAUUUACUAAAUUUUCAAAGUCUAGGAAGACUCUCCCAUUUAACAGCAAAACUUGGCACAGAGAGACACAUAAAAAGGCAUAUAUACUUGCACUAGAGGCACUGCCUGCUCUAUUCCCCAGUCCAGAAGAUCAAAAUAUAUAAAAAGAAAAGCAGUAUCAUUUUUGCAUUUAGCUAUAUAUGAAUAUAUUUAUACAUCUUCAGUGCUCCAAUUUUUAAGAAAGAUUGUUUUGUUUUUGUUAUUCAACAUCAUCUCUAUAUGCAAGACAAGGAUUUCAGCAGGUACUCAACUAAAGACUCAAGGAUUUGACCUAACAUUGAUGAAAACAAUUGGGUGUGUUGAGUUCAUGCAGAGAUGUUAUGUUUGUAUAUUAUGCUGAAUGAAUUAUGAAGGUUUUUUGUACUAGGGAUUGAACCUAGAGGUACUUUACCACUGGGCUACGUCCCUAGCCCCCUCCUUUUUUGGGGGGAUACUGGAGAUUGAACCAGGGGCACUUAACCACGGAGCCACACCUGCAGUCCCUUUUAUUUUGUUUAUUUAUUUUUUAAAUUUUCACUCAGAAUCUUGCUAAAUUGCUGAGGCUGGCCCUGAAUUUGCAAUCCUCCUGCCUCAGCCUCCUGGGUCACUGGGAUUAUAGGAAGGUGCCACUGUGCCUGGCACCCAGGUCUUUUUUAAUUUUUUAUUUUAUUUUUAUUCAUGUAUCACAAUGUUUAUUAAUAGACGCAAGUAUAUAAAAUGAGGACAUGAACAUGAUUUGAUAAAUUAAGUAAACUGAAUUUCAAUACUAUAAUAAGAGGGACCAAUUCAAAUUCUCACCAUUUGUUUCACAACCACAAAAACCACUACAAGGGCAUUAACAGUCUCUCAAAACUGAUCAGUUUUGUGCAAGUAAACAUGUAAAAAUAUGGACUGAUUCACGAAUUUGUGUGUCAUCUUUGCGCAGGGGCCAUGCUAAUCUUCUCUAUCAUUCCAGUUUUAGUAUAUGUGUUGCCAAAGUGAACACUUAAUUUUUUUUAUUUUGAGACAGGGUCUUGCUAAGUUUUUGAAGCUCGACUGAAACAUGCAAACCACCUGUGUCAGCCUCCCAAGUUGCUGGAAAUACAGGCAUCCACCAUGGCACCAGACUAAAGAAGAAUUUUCUGAGGAUAAUAUUGGCACUAUACAAUUUUGCCUUACUAAUUUUCAAGCUUAACCUCAA